GCGGAGAUGGCGGAAUUGGCAGACGCACUAGCUUGAGGUGCUAGCGGGAGCGAUCCCGUGGGGGUUCGAGUCCCCCUCUCCGCACCA
rnacentral:tRNA from 1 species